rnacentral:lncRNA from 1 species
AAGAGAUCACCAACCUCUUUUUGCACUGACACUUCCCGGAGCUAGAAGUUCUACCGGAAAAUUCAUCAGACAGCUCAUGAUCACGACAUCUUUUCCCGGCGAUUGGCGGCUUCCCGGAGGAAACAGGCGGACGAGGAGGUAAACUCAUCGACGAAAACACUUUACCAUUCGAAACACUUCCUUCACCUGUAAUCGUCGACAUAAACGACGACGACGUCGUCGAACUCGCUACCGGAACAGCUUCACAUCCAAUAGAUUUACCAACUUUCCGUUUCGUAAAAUCUAAAGUCAACGCCUUCGAUUGAUACUUCUCAACCGGUACUUUCACCGCCGGUACAGUUUCCUCCGCCGGAUUUGUCAACGGCGAUAGAGUUAAAGCCGUAGACGAAUCAUCAGUAACCUGAACCGGACUACGUCUAAACCGGGCAUGACCGGUCCGGUUCAAAAUAGUAAUAACCUUUCUAAAAUUCGAAACAGUAUAAUCAGUUAUCUCUCUACAAUCCGGCUGAACCGUUUGAUUUUGCUGUUGUUGAAAUGAAACGAACCGGAUUAAAUUAUCCAUAGAUUUUAAACCGGCUGUAGCAGCUUCUUGUAAAGCUAAUUGUUCAUUCAAAUUCGAAUAAUUUAACAAAUCUACAGCCAUUUUUGUUGUUUGAUUUGCAGAGAUGAUGAGAUGAAGAAGAUGAAGAUGAAGGCUAUAUAUAGGUGGAAAAUGAUCACCGGUUGACCGGGUAAGAGUCAAAUCUUUUGAUCUAACGGCUGAGAUUUAUUUAAAUAUUUUAUCAAACAAAAUGACAAAAUAGUAGCAUGCUAGUUGACAGCUUUAUUUACUUUAUUUAUUCGAAGGGGGAAAAUGGUGGGAUCCGUAUGAUAAAAAAUAAAAUAAAAUAAAAAAUUAUUUUAUAUGAGUUAUAAAAAAUGAAAUAAAUAUUUUAAAGUUAUAUUGUUAAUUAAUAUAGAAAUGUUAAAGAUUAAAAAGAAAAAUGAGUAAUAUAAAUUGAAAAGGAAGUAUAAUUUUAUUAUAUUAUUUGAAAUUACUUUGAAAGGGAUGAAAUAGUAGGUUGACUUGUAUUUAAGUGUGAGUUAGUAGUUACUUAGAGCACCAUUUUGUACAAAUUAAGAUAAUGGUAAUCUUAUUGGAAUUAAUGAAUUAAUUAUGUUUAUUUCUUGAAAAUUAAUGUUUGUCAAGGUUUAUUGCUUCAAACUAAUGAGAUUCAUUCCUAAAAAUUUAAUGUUAAUCGACGUUCAUCUAGAUUGAAAUAUAUUUAGUUUUUAUUAUUAUUUGUUAUUUCUUAAUGGCAUGAGUCAGAUAACGAUUUUUCAACUUCAAAUGAUGACAAAAUUAAGAAGUAUAUAUUACACAUUUUUCCCCUACUUUAAUUACUGUUUCGAUAAAUCGUUAUAAGUUUUUUUUUUCUCUUAAACAAAAAUCUAUUGAAAAUAACUUUCUAAAAUCCCCGCCGUCACCCCCACACCCAUCCAUAGAAAUUAUGCCUCUUACUUUUCCUAGUUGACUUUAAAAUGAUAGUAGCACAUAAAAGAAUUUAACAAUAAUAAAAGGAAACCCACUUGAAAUGUCAAAUUGAUACUUAUAUCAUAAAAUAUAUUUAUCAAUAUUAAAAAAAUAGAGAAUAAAAUCCUUAAACGAUUUGACUUUUUAUAUCACCCAAAUUAAAUAAAUAGAUUCCCAAAGUUAACAUUUACUUAAAUAAGAAAAAAUAAAAAAAUUAAAGCAAAAGAAUUCUGACUUUUCUUCUUUGGUGGAAAUCACAUGGGAAGCACAGAUCCUUUUUCUUCUUUAGUUGACCAACUUUUAUCAACCGGCUAUAGCCUGUAAACGAUUUUGUUUUAAUCUUAACCGUUUAAAUUAUAUUAAAAGUGAUCGGACGGUUAAGAUUGAUUUUUAGGAGUUGACGUAGACUUUUAUUGAAAAUCUAAAAAUGUCAACUUCAAAAGCCUAUUAAAAGUCGACACGUGAAAGGCAUAAACUUAAUGCGCCUUUGAAGGAAAAAUUAAAAAAAAGGAAAGAGAAAUUAGUUUAUGUGAAGGAAAAGUAGUCAAAUGAAAAAAAAAAUAGAGUUGACUUGACCAAGUGGGAGGUUGAUUUCCGAUACCUAUAUUGAGGUUCUGAUUAAUUCAAAAUUGUCUCGUAUAAAAUUGACUUAAGGUGAAAGCUUUUUAUCGUCAAAUUUGUUUUCGUAAUUCUAAGAUUCAAAUUCGAAAUCUUUGAUUACGAGUGAAUGAAUUUUAUCCAUCUCAUUUGAAGUUUUUACUCUAUCUGUUUAUUUUUAUUUAUGUUUCGCUUCAUAUUGGUGAGAUUUAGACUAGAUUUCGAAGCUAAAAAAUUUUCUUGCAUGAUAUUUUUGAAUUUCGAGAUUUAAAUAAGUUUUUUUUAUCUUUAUAUUUAGUAAUUUUUACGUAGCUUACAAAUAAAUAGAUUUUUUUUUAUUGAUAAUUCUAUGAGUGAAUUUCUAAUUAAACUUAAACUGUUUAACUUUUGAAAAAUGUUAUGUGUUGUAUAGGGGAUAGAGGGAGUAUAACUAUAUAAGUUAUAUAUUUUUAUUAUAUUAAUACGAUGAAAAAAUAUAUCACGAGAAUUAAAAUUUAAAAUGAGUCUAUAUGUACUAUGGUCCAUAUUGUAUAUUAUUAGUCAAAUAAACCAAUUUAACACGCCAAAUGAAGUUUGUUGUCCCAUGCAAAAUUUCUCCGUGUUUUUAUGAUUGUUUUUUGUCUAUUUUUUUCUCAAUUCUUGGGGUCAUUUUCUUUGAAAUACAAACAAUUUAUCGUGUGGUGUUGAAUUAUCUAAAAAUUAUUUAAAUUCGAGAAAAUUUUUGAAUGCAUUGAAAAAUGUUUUCUUUAAAUUUCUUCUUUCGUUUACUUAUCAUAAUUCGUUUUUUGAAAGUCAUUUGAACUUUAAUAAUUUAAAACACAAACAUAAAUGAUAUUGACAAGUUUUUUUUUAAGAAAAUCUAAUUUACUUGUGUCAAAAAAAUAAGAGUAAAAAAUAAAUAUAACCUAAAUUUUACAUUAGAUUGUUCUAAUGUAGUGUGCUCAAUGUAGGGGUUUGACUUUUUAUUAGCAGUAUUUAUUUUUUAUAUAUAAUAUUUUAAUAUAGGAGUAAGCAUUACUUAUACUUCAAAAAAAAAAAAAUUGAAAUUGACUAUAUAAGUUUUCAAAUUUUACUCAUAAUGUAUUGAAGAAGACUUCUCGAAGUUCAAAGGAGAAAUUUUUAUUGUUUUAAUUUGUUCAAAAGGAGUGUAUCUUUUACUUUUAAUAAUUCAUUAAUUUAGUUGUCCAUCCAAACUAGUACUUGGGGACAAGUUUUAUAGUCUGUUUGAUCAAUUUUAUUUUAGAAGGGUAAAAAUGUCAUUCAAAACUAUUAUUAAACCUACAUCCAUAUCAUAUAUAUUAGAUAUAUAUAUGCUUUUAAUUAUUCAUCAUAGCUAUAGUUUGCUAUAAUUAUUAUUCUUGACUAACAUUUUACAUUAAUUACGUGGGUUGACUUCAAGUUUGUAUAAUUAGUCACGUUUGUAUAUGUAUAAUUCGCUAGAAUAUACAAACAUAUAUGUAUAAUAUACAAUUAUCUAAUAGAUAUACAUAUACAAUUCACCUCUCUCCCACUCUCUGCUCUCUCUCGCUCACCUCUCUCCUCCCUAUCUCAAUCUCGUUCGCCUUUCUCCUCCCUCUCCCAAUCUCGCUUGCCAUAUAUACAUACAAAAUAACCGAUAUAUAUAUACAAUUCACCUUUCUCCACUCCUUUCCCUCUCUCUCCUCUCUCCUCUCUCUUAGUCUCGCUCGCCUCUCUCCUCCAUAUAACAUGUAGCUACGAAUUGUAAUUAUCAAACUAUAGUUAUGAAGAGUAAUUAGGCUAUUUUAAGUGGCUACAUGUGAAAGCCCCCUUUUAUUAUUAAUAAAGAAUUUAUAUCAUAUGUUGAGAAAGAUACACCUAUAUAUAUUGAGACGAGCGAGAUGGGGAAGAAGGCGACCAAGAUAGUCAUGUAUCCCAGAUACUUAGGAAUCACACUAGAUACAUAUAUCUUUAUGUACCUGAUGUGAUUUACUAUAUAUCAUAUACAUAUGUGAGUGGUAAGCGAGAUUUGCCUAUGUAUUUUAUAUACAUCCACUUGUAUUUAGUCUGUUUAGAACAACUAAUUUUUUAAUUUCUUGUAUAUUAAGAUACAUGUAUCUCAAAGUAUCUAGAUUCUGAACGCACCAAAAUCUGAUAAGAUUAGUAACAAUACAAAUAAAAUAUAUUUAAGUAUUAAGCUCCUAAACUAGUAAAAUUUCUUCGAAAUUCUAUUAAACAUACCCUUCAAUUAGCUAAAUAAUUCAAAAAUACAUUUGCUCCAAAACAAGUUAAAUGCACCAAUUCUGACCAUGAACUAUUUGGAAAUGGAACUGAAAUUUAAAUUAACAGAGUUUUAGUUAAUCAUGUUCAAAAGUUCAUUAAAAAUGAGAUGACAAAUAAAGCAUCCAAUCAUCUAGCAAAUAAGUUAGGAAUGACUCAUUGACCAUGACAAUUUGUUUGUUACAUUCCACAAUAAAUGAAUAAUAAAAUAAUAGAAAGAGGAGAAAAUAAAAGAAGAUUCAAGUCAAACUUUGCUUCUUUAAUUAGAAAAAGAAAUUGCAAAAUACAAAUCAACUUCUUUAAUUAUUUAUUAACUUCCUACUUAGGAAAUAGUAACCAACUUGGAAACAAACUCUUCAAUAUUUUUAUCUGAACUUCCUCCUUCAUCCACAACAUUUCUAGCUAUUUCCUUCCAUUUCUUUGCAUUUUCUCUAAUUAAUUUUCCUUUAUCUUCUUCCAUCACUAGUUUUAUACAUUCUUCUAUAACUUCUCUUCUAACUAUCCCUUUUUCAUCUUGUUUGGCUCUAACACCUAUUUCCCAAACAUCUUUCACAAGCUUUGCAUUUGUUGGUUGAUCUGACCAUUGUGGCAUUGCCACCAUUGGCACUCCCAAACUAAUCGCUUCCAGUGUCGAAUUCCAUCCACAGUGCGUCAGAAAACACCCUAUCGACUCAUGUUCCAACACUUGUAAUUGUGGACACCAUGACACCACUAAGCCUUUUUCACUUGUUAAUUCCUCAAUAAAGUUGUUGGGGAGUUUGGGCUCUUCAGUAGACCUAACAACCCACAAGAAGCUCUUGUUGCUAUUCUUCAAACCCCAUGCCAAUUCUUCCAUUUGCUCACUUCCUAGUUUGGCUAAACUUCCAAAUGAUACAUACAACACUGAGCUAAUUGGUUGAUGGUUUAACCAAUUUAGGCAUUCAUUUGUCAUUGGCUUGAACAUACUAAGACCAUACUCUUUAUCAUCAUGUAGUCUCUUGUCUAAGUACAUUGAUGGUAUUGUUGGUCCAAUUGUCUUUAUUGGAUAUAUCUUCGACAUCCAAUCAAUUACCUACAUGACAAAUAAUAAACUAUAUUAUAUGAUUCAGUUAAUUCCUUUAAUGUUUUUUACACUAUGGGUGGUUGAGUCAGGAUUUUUCACUAAGGAGAUUCAAAAUAUGAAGAAGUAAACAUACGAAACCGUAGAUCUGGAAUUCAACAUCUACAUAAAAAAGAAUAUGCGGAAGAAUAUUUUACCUCUUUCUCCAACUCAUAAAAGCUAUUGAUUAGGACCCAAUCUACUUUGUCAAGAUUUGAGAAUUGAUUCACCAACAUUUCAAGUAUUCUUUCUCCUUCAGGAUUAAUAACAAAAUUAGGUACAUCUGAUGCCUUAAUUGGACUUGAAAAUCCAGGAAUUAUGAUUUUUUCAUCAUUUUGAGUAGGGGGAAGUUUUAUUACCCCUUUAUGAACAUGGUAAUAAAUGUUAUCCACUACACAAUUUUGUGUAAAAAAUGCAGCACUAAUCAAUCCAAAUUGUUUUGCAACUUCAACAGCCCAAGGGAGGAAUGGAUCAUAUACUAUGCAAUUUACAGGACAUCCACUAAUUGCCAAUUUUUGAAUAAGUUGAGACAGAGUAUCCGAACCAAUUUCUUUGAAUCGUGUAAUAUAGGCCACGAAAGUUCCUGCUUGAUCGCGACCACCAUCAUCAUAGCCAUCAGAUAUGGCCUCAAUUGACAUAGAAGUUGGCAAUUCCUUCAUGUUUUUCAAAAAGGAUUUUGUGAGUGCUAUAGUGAUUUUAACGCGUUUGGAUCGUAAACGUUUGGAGAAUUGAAGCAUUGGGUUGAUAUGACCUUGGACUGGAUAUGGCAAGAUCAAGCAAUGAGCUUU